rnacentral:rRNA from 1 species
AUGCUUCCUAAUGACUUGGAUCUGAUCUUCUCAGGAGUUCGUUUUAGCUGGUAUAGCUUCAGAGAUUAUGUAUCUCUCAUCUUUUCAUCAAUAGUGUGUUUGAUUUUUAUUAGUUGCUGCCUGCCUUGCUACUUUGCUGGUAGUGCUUUUCUUCUUGCUACUUCUGGUAAGAAAUGCCAAAUUGUUCUUCCUUGCUUUACAAACGAUCUAUUUCCUGCUUGUCCCGUCUGGAGGUCAUCGAGCCAUUCCAAGUUAUUGAUAUUAUUGUGGUUGAAAUGGAGUGCUAAGAGGACUUGGUUUGUUCUUGUAAGUUUUGUCAGUCAAUCUUAUGGGAAGCAAUGA